UUACGGUCAGGUUACGGU
rnacentral:siRNA from 1 species